CUACGGGGCGCUGCAGUGAGGAAUAUUGCACAAUGGGGGGAACCCUGAUGCAGCAACGCCGCGUGGAGGAUGACGCAUUUCGGUGUGUAAACUCCUUUUAUAUGUCAAGAAAAUGACGGUAGCAUAUGAAUAAGCACCGGCUAACUCCGUGCCAGCAGCCGCGGUAAUACGGAGGGUGCAAGCGUUACUCGGAACCACUGGGCGUAAAGGACGCGUAGGCGGGUUGGAAAGUCAGGUGUGAAAUCCGACAGCUUAACUGUAGAACUGCACUUGAAACUUCUAAUCUAGAGUAUGGGAGGGGGAGAUGGAAUUAGUGGUGUAGGGGUAAAAUCCGUAGAUAUCACUAGGAAUACCUAAAGCGAAGGCGAUCUCCUGGAACAUUACUGACGCUAAGGCGUGAAAGCGUGGGGAGCAAACAGGAUUAGAUACCCCCGUAGUC
rnacentral:rRNA from 1 species